GGAGUAAUCCAAAAACCAAACUAAAAUUGGAAUGAAACUGAGAAAUUAGCAUAGCCUCUACACAAGAAUGACAUGCGAAUUCACGAAGCAUUUCAUAUUUUU